UGUUGAAACACCGGUUCCCGUACAAUCCAUGAAGUUAAGCAACGUUGAGUCUGGUCAGUAACUAGAUGGGUGACCACUAGUGAAUACAAACUGCUGUAAU